GACGAACCGAGCGAACGUUAUUCGGAAUCACUGGGCUUAAAGGGCGCGUAGGCGGACGACCAAGUCAGGGGUGAAAUCCCGCGGCUCAACCGCGGAAGUGCCUUUGAUACUGGUUGUCUCGAGGGAGGUAGGGGCGUGCGGAACUUCCGGUGGAGCGGUGAAAUGCGUAGAUAUCGGAAGGAACACCGGUGGCGAAAGCGGCGCGCUGGACCUCUUCUGACGCUGAGGCGCGAAAGCCAGGGGAGCGAACGGG
rnacentral:rRNA from 1 species